UCAGCACAGGAGCAGCCUCAGCAAGAAGUUUAAACUCAGAGAAUUCAACUGGCAAAAGAAGAUACGCAGAGGAAUAAGAUUCCGUUUCUGCCAACUGUGGUGUCGUUGACAAAUUACAAUCUUGCUGUUCGAAGAAAUCACGUGAAUAGCAAAACAGCUCUUCCUGGAAGUCAGCCAAGGGAUCUACACAGUUACAGCUCAAUUCACACUUGAUGCUCUGAAGAUCCUGUGAUGCAAGAUGUUUAGAGGUAUAAUCUCUAUUUAUGAUAAAUCCCUAACUCUAUCCUUUUGUUCCCAGCCUGUCCAAAUAUCCAUCUUUAAUUUACCUUUGUCCUGAGUGGUUUUAUAUUUGUUCCCAUAAUGACAGUUCAAAUUUUAUGAAACAUCUCUGAAUGUUUCACAGUUAAAAAAAAAAAAAAAAAAAAAAAAAAAAAAAGAAAAAAAAUAUUACAACAGUAAGCAUCAUAUGCACAUACUCAGAUAUUCAGACAUAAAACUUAUGAACAAAGUUCAAUCUAGGGGAAAAAUACUGUGAGAUUUCUUAAACUUGGAAGGUGCCAGUUUGCUUUAUGCAUAUGUAGUAGUACCUGAUAUAGAGAUAAUGGUAUCAAAGAAGGAGAAGGAGAAGCUGUGGAGCACAGCAGUUCAGCUACAAUUGUUGAUAUUUUUCACUUUUAAUUACAGAAUUCAUCUGAAAACAAGCCCAAAACACAAGCCAUCAUAUAGGAAGUUUUUUCAUUCACUAAACAACAUAGUAAAAAUUGAGCUUUUGCCACCAGUUUUAGAGAGGCAGAAGGGACGCUUCCAAGAAUGCAAUCCCCUUCUCUCUUCUCCUAUUCUUUUUGUUCUCCUAUACAAUUUGUUUCUUCUGCUCUGCUAAAUUAAAAAAAGAUAGCUUUAAAACUAUAGCUAAUAUUUGUUCUGACUAGCUAAACUGAUACAGCUAGUUAACUUGUCUGAUGAUUUCUUUAACACAGACAACUUUUGGUACAGUAUUAAAGAUGCAUGAUUGUAUAAAUUGGUACAUUAAAAAAAUAUAUAAAUAAACUAAAAAACUUAUUCUGUAUUGCUGUUAACAAAUUUGGUCAAGUUGUCCAAGAAAAUAAGGUGUUUUGUUUUCAGUGCUUAGGAUGUUUCCAUUGCUUUCUCUAACAGGGUACUGUGCAAGGGCUCAGAGGACUUGUUCACUUCCUGGCACUUCCAGACUCUGCUGGAUACCCUGUCCAAGGCUAAGUUCCGCUGUCUGUCUGCCUUUGUCAUCUUCUCUGUGAGAAAACAGAGAGUACACAACCAUACCCUGGUAAAGCACUUUAAGGUACGCAUUAGUACUUUAGAACCACAUCAGCACUUCAUAAUAUCUAACAAAAAUAUAUCUUCAGUAAAAUAAA